CGCCGCGUGAGUGAUGAAGGCCUUCGGGUUGUAAAGCUCUGUGGGGCGAGACGAAUAAGUGCAGCCUAAUACGCUGCGCGAUGACGGUAUCGCCUUAGCAAGCACCGGCUAACUCUGUGCCAGCAGCCGCGGUAAGACAGAGGGUGCAAACGUUGUUCGGAAUUACUGGGCGUAAAGCGAGUGUAGGCGGUUUCCUAAGUCGGGUGUGAAAGCCCCGGGCUCAACCCGGGAAGUGCACUCGAAACUGGGAGGCUAGAGUAUCGGAGAGGUUGGUGGAAUUCUCGGUGUAGAGGUGAAAUUCGUAGAUAUCGAGAGGAACACCGGUGGCGAAGGCGGCCAACUGGACGAAUACUGACGCUGAGACUCGAAAGCGUGGGGAGCAAGCAGGAUUAGAUACCCUGGUAGUCCACGCCGUAAACGAUGGGUGCUAGGUGCUGCGGGCUUUGACUCCCGCGGUGCCGUAGCUAACGCAUUAAGCACCCCGCCUGGGAAGUACGGCCGCAAGGCUA
rnacentral:rRNA from 1 species